GCAGAGCGAGUGCGUCCCCACCAGCCUGGCCGCCGCGGGAACUCGGGGACCGGGAGGGCGGGGGUUAGCGGGAGGAAAGGGGCACCAAGAGGCACCCUGAGAACUCAGAGGACCCAGAGGCUCCCCUCAAGCAAAUUCCCUGCUGACCCUGGACACCCCUUGAAGGAGGGGGCAAGAGGCUGCCACAAGGCUCAUCUUAUAACUCCCAGCAAGGACUCCCAGCAAACAAGAGACCCACAUCACUCAGUUCCCAGGACACCUGGUGGGAGAGUCUGGUGAGAUUUGGAGGCAGACUUCCUCUACUCACAACUUGUUUGAAAAUGGACAUAAAGAGAAGAACAGACACUCCAUCGCCCCUUCAGGGCCUCCUUUGUGUCACAAAACCUAUCCCCUCCUAGGGCACCCUUGACAUUCCCCUAGGUGGGCCUACACAUUGUUCAGAACCUGUCCCCUGUACCAAAAUAAAUAUAAAUGAGUUUGUUUCUUUAAAAGAAA
rnacentral:lncRNA from 1 species